AGACUUGAUAGAGGUGCGGGAUUCAUCAGUACCAGGAAGGACAGCGAAAAAAUGCGCAGGCUUUUAUAUCGGCCCUGUGUGCUGUCCGCGCAGUAAAGUCCAGGGAGACAAGGCAGCCCGACAGGCGCUGCCGCUGCAAAAUGGGAAAGGGGAGACCGCCGAAGGAGACGUGUCUGUCCCUGUGAGACGGCUUCUGGGCCGCGGCAGAAUAUGCUGCGGACUGUCACAUCAGUGGAGCGCUAUCACGGGA
rnacentral:ncRNA from 2 species